AUUGAACGCUGGCGGCAGGCCUAACACAUGCAAGUCGAACGAGCGGCGGACGGGUGAGUAAUGUCUGGGAAACUGCCUGAUGGAGGGGGAUAACUACUGGAAACGGUAGCUAAUACCGCAUACCAUCAGAUGUGCCCAGAUGGGAUUAGCUAGUAGGUGGGGUAAUGGCUCACCUAGGCGACGAUCCCUAGCUGGUCUGAGAGGAUGACCAGCCACCAUGGAACUGAGACACGGUCCAGACUCCUACGGGAGGCAGAAGUGGGGAAUAUGGCACAAUGGGCGCAAGCCUGAUGCAGCCAUGCCGCGUGUAUGAAGAAGGCCUUCGGGUUGUAAAGUACUUUCAGCGAGGAGGCGUUACUCGCAGAAGAAGCACCGGCUAACUCCGUGCCAGCAGCCGCGGUAAUUC
rnacentral:rRNA from 1 species